AAGACUAUAGACCUGCGGAGUACCUGCGGAAGGAUCAUUCAUAAUAAAAGUGAAAUAAUUUAUGGCACUUUUAAAACAAUCCAUAUCCACCUUGUGUGCAAUGUUUUUUUUUUAAUAUUUAUAUCAACUCUUUUAAAUACAAAAUUAUCUGAAAUUAUUUUAUGAAUUUUAUUUACUUAAUUCAAAAAUAUAACUUUUAACAAUGGAUCUCU
rnacentral:misc_RNA from 1 species